rnacentral:snRNA from 1 species
AUCGCUUCUCAGCCUUUUUGGCUAAGAUCAAGUGCAGUAUCUGUUCUUAUUGGAUAUGUUAAUAUCCGAUACAAUCAGAAAAGAAUUUGUAAAAAAGGAAAAACAUAAUGGCCGAGACCCACU